UUGUGUGUACCACAUCUGUGGGAGUGCCCUUGAGGGUCGAAGAAGAUGUCAAAUCCCCUGUAAAUAGAGUUACAGAUGCCCUUGGAGAGGAGAAGUGUGCAGAGUCCCCGGGAGCUGGAGUAUACUCAUGAUUGUGAACUACCCAACAUGUGUGCUGCUGACUGAAUUCAGGUCCUUUGCAAGAUCAGGUUUGAAUCAUUUCUGGAAGUUGGCAAGGGUCUCCAGUGUGGGGAACACUCUCUUUCUUUAUGACCUCCUCUGUCUCAAAGGACAGUCAGAACUUUCCCCUCAGGCAAGGAGUGCUUCUGUGUGUCUAUGACGUAUUGGAUGCUAAGACUCACGGAUCAAUAAUAUCUCA